GUGGGGAAUUUUGGACAAUGGGCGCAAGCCUGAUCCAGCAAUGCCGCGUGCAGGAAGAAGGCCUUCGGGUUGUAAACUGCUUUUGUACGGAACGAAACGGUCCGGGUUAAUACCCUGGGCUAAUGACGGUACCGUAAGAAUAAGCACCGGCUAACUACGUGCCAGCAGCCGCGGUAAUACGUAGGGUGCGAGCGUUAAUCGGAAUUACUGGGCGUAAAGCGUGCGCAGGCGGUGCUGUAAGACAGAUGUGAAAUCCCCGGGCUCAACGUGGGAACUGCAGUUGGGACUGCAUCGCUGGAGUGCGGCAGAGGGGGAUGGAAUUCCGCGUGUAGCAGUGAAAUGCGUAGAUAUGCGGAGGAACACCGAUGGCGAAGGCAAUCCCCUGGGCCUGCACUGACGCUCAUGCACGAAAGCGUGGGGAGCAAACAGGAUUAGAAACCCGGGUAGUCC
rnacentral:rRNA from 1 species